AGAUGGGAGCACUCAGCUUCAGUGUUCAGAAGCAGAUUUAGGCCAACUGCCAUACCUUACGUUCUAGAGGGAUCCACCCUGACCUGAGCAGAAGGCAUCACACACAUUCCCAAGCAGCAUGGUUCCUGUGAGAAACUGAAAACUAAUUUCUUGAAUCUACAAUGCGACUUCCAUCUUCCAGGUGUAACCAGAGUUUUUCCUGGAGCGAUUCCAGCUUGUUUCCUUUUGGUGCCUUCCUUAAGAAAUUUUGCAGCUGUUUCUGGUGCAGUUUUUGGGUGGGCUCUGGGGUGGGCAGACGAUCUCCACUUUGCAGAGGCUGCUCUUGUGGGUGGAGCUGGUGGUGAGGGAGUAGGAGAGGCCUUGCAUCAUCCUGGCAUUCAGGCCCUUAGCCAUGGAGAAGGACUUGAGGUGGCUUCUUAAGGUAAUGGGGAGUGGGAGCUUGUCGACCAGGUGUACGGGCGUGCAGGACACGAUGGCGCGGCAGCAGAGGUCUUGCAAACUCAUUACCUUGCUGGGUCUCCCGAGCCAAUUCAUCCUGUGCCGCAGCAGCACGAUCCUGGCCAGCUCCGUGAAAGACUCUAUGAUGUUGAAAUUGCACAGAGGGCUGACCUCAAAGAAGGUCACACCCAGGC
rnacentral:antisense_RNA from 1 species